rnacentral:rRNA from 2 species
UUGAUCCUGGCUCAGGACGAACGCUGGCGGCGUGCCUAAUACAUGCAAGUCGAGCGGACUUAAAAAGCUUGCUUUUUAAGUUAGCGGCGGACGGGUGAGUAACACGUGGGCAACCUGCCUGUAAGACUGGGAUAACUUCGGGAAACCGGAGCUAAUACCGGAUAAUCCUUUUCUACUCAUGUAGAAAAGCUGAAAGACGGUUUACGCUGUCACUUACAGAUGGGCCCGCGGCGCAUUAGCUAGUUGGUGAGGUAACGGCUCACCAAGGCGACGAUGCGUAGCCGACCUGAGAGGGUGAUCGGCCACACUGGGACUGAGACACGGCCCAGACUCCUACGGGAGGCAGCAGUAGGGAAUCUUCCGCAAUGGACGAAAGUCUGACGGAGCAACGCCGCGUGAGUGAUGAAGGUUUUCGGAUCGUAAAACUCUGUUGUUAGGGAAGAACAAGUACGAGAGUAACUGCUCGUACCUUGACGGUACCUAACCAGAAAGCCACGGCUAACUACGUGCCAGCAGCCGCGGUAAUACGUAGGUGGCAAGCGUUGUCCGGAAUUAUUGGGCGUAAAGCGCGCGCAGGCGGUCCUUUAAGUCUGAUGUGAAAGCCCACGGCUCAACCGUGGAGGGUCAUUGGAAACUGGGGGACUUGAGUGCAGAAGAGAAGAGUGGAAUUCCACGUGUAGCGGUGAAAUGCGUAGAGAUGUGGAGGAACACCAGUGGCGAAGGCGACUUGUCUGUAA